rnacentral:rRNA from 1 species
UGAACUUAAGCAUAUCAUAAGCGGAGGAAAAGAAACUAACAAGGAUUCCCCUAGUAACUGCGAGUGAAGCGGGAAAAGCUCAAAUUUAAAAUCUGGCGGUCUUUGGCCGUCCGAGUUGUAGUCUGGAGAAGUGCUUUCCGCGCUGGACCGUGUAUAAGUCUCUUGGAACAGAGCGUCAUAGAGGGUGAGAAUCCCGUCUUUGACACGGACUACCAGUGCUUUGUGAUGCGCUCUCAAAGAGUCGAGUUGUUUGGGAAUGCAGCUCAAAAUGGGUGGUGAAUUCCAUCUAAAGCUAAAUAUUGGCGAGAGACCGAUAGCGAACAAGUACCGUGAGGGAAAGAUGAAAAGCACUUUGGAAAGAGAGUUAAACAGUACGUGAAAUUGCUGAAAGGGAAACGCUUGAAGUCAGUCGCGUUUGCCGGAACUCAGCCUUCCUUUUGGUUGGUGCACUUUCCGGUAGACGGGCCAGCAUCGAUUUCGACCGUCGGAUAAGGGCUGGGGAAAUGUGGCACCUUUCGGGGUGUGUUAUAGUCCUCAGUCGCAUACGUCGGUUGGGAUCGAGGAUCGCAGCGCGCCGCAAGGCAGGGGUUCGCCCACUUUCGCGCUUAGGAUGCUGGCAUAAUGGCUUUAAACGACCCGUCUUGAAACACGGACCAAGGAGUCUAACAAACCUGCGAGUGUUUGGGUGGAAAACCCGAGCGCGUAAUGAAAGUGAAAGUUGAGACCUCUGUCGUGGAGGGCAUCGACGCCCGGACCUGAAGUUCUCUGACGGUUCCGCGGUAGAGCAUGUUUGUUGGGACCCGAAAGAUGGUGAACUAUGCCUGAAUAGGGUGAAGCCAGAGGAAACUCUGGUGGAGGCUCGUAGCGAUUCUGACGUGCAAAUCGAUCGUCAAAUUUGGGUAUAGGGGCGAAAGACUAAUCG